ACUUAAUCAAGAAUUAAGUUUUUUUUAAAUUUUUUUGAAGUUUGUGUUAUUUUGUUAUUGUUCGUGAAUUUGAGUUUGAAAGCAUAAGGAACGAAGGAACAGUAAGGAAGAAAAAUCUCUCGAAACCGAAACGGACAUCAAAUUUCUCCAAAACUAAAGAAGAAAAAUUAAUUUGAUUGGCCUUGCAGAAGAAACAUCUUAGAAAUAAAAGAAAACGGACGAAAUCAAGUCCAUGCUAAAGGACGCAGCUUGGGAGGCCAGAUGCAAUUUAUAUUUAUAAACAUAAGGCAUAAUGCUAUUAUUUCAACAAUAAUAAAUAUAGGUACCUAUGUUUAUUUUUCUGUUCAAAA